rnacentral:lncRNA from 1 species
GUGGGAUGCUAGGUACCUAUAAAGGUUGGGCAACUUAUAAACUUGCCAGGAGCAAAGAGGUGAAAACUUAUUCAGAGGUUUUCUCUUGAGGGGAUUAGUCAACUCAGCUGUGUUUUCUCUGGUUCAGACUUACUGAGGGGAUUAUUUGACUCAGCUGUGUUUUCUCUGGUUCAAACUUACUAAAGGGAUUAGUCGACCCAGCUGUGUUUUUAGGAAAACGUCUACUGUGAUUGGUAGAUGUAAGGACUUAGGGUAGGUGACAUAGGAGAAAACCCCCUAUAUGAGAAAAAGCAGAAUCUCUUGAAGGAUGAAUCCUUUUGGAGAAAUCUCUUAUGAGGAUCGCUUGGGAAGAAUCUCUUGAGAGAGGCUCUGGAGAAGGGAAGCUCUUAGAGGACAAUCUCUAAGGAGGUCUCGCUGGAGCUCCUCUGAGGGGACUCUGUCCCUCUGGAGGCUCUGGAGAGAGGCCCUUUGAAGUAGUCUCUGGCUGGAUCUCUCUUUGAGGAGGACUCUGGCUGGAACUCUCUCUGGUGAAGUCAGCUGAGAUGGAGCUGGCCUGGUGUCACUAGAAUCCUUGCUUAGACAGACCUUGUGGGAGAUUGGAUGGAGACAAGGAGAGGAAAAGGGGAAGAGAAGGAAGAAUUUACAUAUAUGUAUAGAUGCACAUAUGAUCUCCACAAAAGUCUUGUAAGAAUCAUCUCGUAG